CAUUUUUCUGUUCGACUGCUGGUGUUGAGUGUAAAUUCCCGGGUAAAAAUGUAAAAGUAGUGAGUAAUAAGAAACAGCUAGAAAGUCUAGUUUCCAUAAUGGAAGCAAGAUAUUGCGAAGGGAAUUUGCGGAAAAGCCCAAGCGAAGAAAAGAUGGGAUAGAUUUACAACGGAACUUAAUAGUCUCGGGCUUCCUGUACGUACUUGCGAUAAAUGGAUCAAGAUCCGCCGGGGAUUGUGUUUGGGCAGGAGGAAAUCCAAAACGUGGAAACAAAUUUUACGCAUGUUGAGGAAGACCCAGCCCCGAUAAAACUUGCUCCUAUUAAAACUUGUUUAAAAAAAACAGGAGAGGACGAGAGGCUUUCAAUUCUGAAGAACCAAACAAAUAUGUAGGAGGACUUUUAUA